rnacentral:rRNA from 1 species
CCUACGGGAGGCAGCAGUGGGGAAUAUUGCGCAAUGGGCGAAAGCCUGACGCAGCGACGCCGCGUGAGGGAUGAAGGUCUUCGGAUCGGUAACCUCUGUCAGCAGGGAAGUACGGUCACUGUGGUAAUCAUCAGUGAAUUGACUGUACCUGCAAAGGAAGCACCGGCUAACGCCGUGCCAGCAGCAGCGGUAAUGCGGAGGGUGCGUGCGUUAAUCGGAAUUGAUGGGCGGAAAGCGCGCGUAGGCGGUAUGUCAAGUCAAGGGUGAAAUCCCCGCGCUCAACGUGGGAACUGCCUUUGAAACUGGCAAACUGGAGUGUGUGAGAGGAUAGUGGAAUUCCAGGUGUAGGAGUGAAAUGCGUAGAUA